UAAAAAUGUUGAAUUAUUUGAUGCCACUCUAUUGAUUUCUUAGGAAAACAAAUUCUGUGUUUGUUUCCCCCCUCCCAAUGCAGGUCAUAGUAUUGGCAUAAGAGGAGGCAUAUACCGGUAUAUGGUGAAUAGUCACUAUAGUGCUAAAGAGAGUAAUGUAUUUUAUCAUCAUUAUAUUUAUAACUAUCUUUUCAUUCAAGGGCUCAAAAAACUAACCAUGUGAGGUAGUUGGCCUAAGAGAAACAUCCAUCAAAAGUCAUUUGGUUAGACUGGUUGAAAGUAGACUAGAACCUGGGUCUCCCCUAGAACAUUGGCAGAUUGCAUUCAUUAUUCAACGUUUGUGGUUAAUAUCUAUUAUAUCUAUGGCAUAAAUCUUUGGAUAUAUAGAUAUAUUGUAGAUUUGGAUAAUGUUUAAUUCUACAAUUAAUGCACUAGUACUACAUCACAAUUGUUUUUAAGGUAAUAUGUUCAUUCCUGCAUUAACAAGUUUUGUGAAAGAAACUAAAAUUGCUUCUAAGUUUUGGCCUGUAAGCAGUCACUUUUUUAUAGAGUAACUAGUUUUAAUGCUUCAUUAUGUAGAAGAGAUUUCAUAUAAAAUAAUGUAGGUUUUUUUACUUGGCUAUUCUGAAUACAAUAUGCUCUACAUGGAUGGUAUAAAAUGGAAGGAUAAAAUACACAAUUUUGAUUUUUUUUGAAGUGUUGGAUACUUCAGAUUAAUCAAACUUUACAUAGAUUGGCAGGCCCUUUUCUGUUCCACUGACAAAUAUGGGAUUAAAAGACAGAGCAACAUGUCUAACAUUCAUUAGAUGUUUUAAGAUUGUAAUUUAGUUACAAAAUAGAGAACAUGUAAUGUAGCAAUAGUUUAGAAAGUGUAUUGGGUGAAUUGGUAGAUAGCUGGGACAUAUCACAUUGUCCCAUUUGUUUUCAGUUUUAAUUUAUAUAAUUCUUUAAGUGUCUACUGUUUACAAUUUUUACUGCAAUUUUGAGAGGAAACUCAAUAUCUUCCAUUAAGGAGAAUUUCAGGGUGGUAAUCAAAUGAUACAAAGAAUGGUCUUACAUGUCAUUCUGAAUAUUGUUGUCUAUGCUUAAAAUCUUAAUACAAAGCAAAUUUGUGUAUUAAAAGGCAAUAUUUUAUAAUUAGAAUCUUCCAUUUACUAUGCAGUUAUAUAAACGUAAGAUCAUUUAAAAAUGAAUUGUGUUCAUACCUAUCAGAUAAAUUUAAUAGAGUUGGAAUAUAGCAUGCCAUCCACAAGGUUACACAUAUUCUGUAUUUCUGUUUAGGUUAACUAGUAUGAUGGAAAAUCCAUUGCUGGGCUGUCUGUGCCAUGUAUCAAAAAGUUUGCAUUUAAUUAUCUGUGUUAGUUAAAUGUGAUCAGUGUAAUUUGUCAUGUAACUUAGGUGUAAAGUCAAAGUCAGCUAUGUUACAUUUUUUCUGCACUGAUACAGACAGAAUAAGACCACAGAUCCAGAAAGCUAUUUGAAUGAGCUUUUAUGACCUAAAAACAAUAGGUACUGAUAAGAGGAGAUUGGGUGGUGGGUGGGGGAGAAAAACAGAUAGUGAUUCUUUUUUUUCUUAGCUGAAGACCAGUAUAUCUAUAUUAAAAUAUGGGAAUGUUGAUUAAACAUAUAAGUCCGUAUGAUCAGCAUGAAUUUCUCUAGGUAUCUUGGGACUUUAUUUCACACAAUUCCCUAUCAUGCAAUCUACUAAGCACACAGGUUUUUGUUUGUUUGUUUUUUACAUUCUAUGCUUAUGAAAACUGGAGUCACUGUAGAGAUAUUUUGUCUAAGAAAGCUGCUUAGUUGGCUAAAGAGCCUCUGAUAAACUGUGGAAGUAGACCUGACAAGGACUACUCAAGUCCUUUCUCCUGGCUGUGGUAGUUUAUGGGGAAGCAAAAAUUAUGAGUGGAGAUUUUACAAACUCGUCUAUUUUUAUGUAAUUUGCUGAUACAUGGAUCAGGCAUUAGGAUGGUCCCAGGCCAUGUUUUGGUCACUUUAAUAAAGUUUAUGACAUAUUAUAGUGCGGGAAUAUACAAUUUAUAUCACUGCAACAUCUUCAGUAGUUGUACAUAUUGAAACUAGAAAAUAAUUAGAUUUGUAGAGAAAUUUGGCAUAAAUAUAUUAAUAUACUUUUAGUUCAACUUCAUAAUUCGUUUUUGACUUCUUGUGGACAUUUUCCUAAUAUAACAUCAAAAAACCAACUGUGGAUUUUGACAUCAUGUUUCAAACUGAGUGCAACAUUAAAGUGCCUUGUUCUCCUUGGAGCUGAGAAAGGAAGCAUUUCUAGAAACUGCAGUGCAAGAACAAUUCAUUGUUACCUCUUCUCUCUCUUGAACGAGGGACAUGCUUUGUGUCUGCAAUAUUUAUUAAUUUAGAAAAUUCAUAUCUUACUUUUCAGCUGGAGAAGCUUGCCAUUUGACUUAAGAGAUAGAUUACAAAUUUAUGCAAUAAUAUUACAAUAUAAAAAUUGUAGUUAUUAGCAAACAGCUACACUAAGCCAUGUGUAAAUUUAUGGAAUGGGGGAAAGCGACAGAUGAUAUACAGCUAUUGUAGUAAUUAACUUGAAAAUUAAGUGAGGAAAUCAGCUGAGGUCUAAAGGACUAGAAUUCUAAAAUGUUGAAAUUGCAACUAAAAAGAACCUUCCUGGUAUUUAAGAUACAUAAUCCUCUGCAGAUCAGGGAUGUGGUAUGCAACUACUGUCAAUUAUUAUUGAAAAUUUUAUCCAAACAGAUUAAAGGAUGAUGAUUGCCAAACAGAUUUAUGAAGAAUCAUUGAGAUAUUUAUAGGUAAUUAUAACACCUUAUGCCUAGAAACAAGAGACAUCUAGUGAAUUUGAGUUAAGGUAAGGACUUCCACUGUUUGCAAGGUUAGUUUUUGAACAUGUAGGAUCACAAUAAAGUGGAGUUGAAGAAAACAAAUGUGACUGUAGUCAAAGCAUUUAUGAGGCAUAUAGAAAAUUGCAAGUGGGUCCAGAAUGCAAUAAUACACAGUAAUGGUUCACCCAUUUAAACCUUUAUUGUGCAAACUGCACUGGCUCCAGAUUUCUUCCAGCUGCAAUUCAAAGUGCUGGUUAUCACAUUUAAAGCAUUAAGAGAACACAUCCAUUCCACUAGACCAGAUAGGGUGGGCAUGCUCCAGAUCCGCUCCCUGGAAUCUUGCGUUCUGCUGUAGUGGGGUUUUAGAAUCAUGCCAUUUCUGUGACUUCCCCUAACUUGUAUAACAACCUCCUACUGGUGAUUUGACAGAUGUCCACUCUUAGCCUUUUGGAAGACUGUUAAGACCCAAGAUCCAGCUUUUUACUGAGAUAUUGGGAUUGUAUAGGCUUAGGGUUGUGUGCAGUCCAAAGGGAACAAUUACUGCAAAUGGAAUUUUGUUUAUUGUUUCAUUGCUUUUAUUGUUUUUAACUUGGUUUUAUUUAUUGGUUUUACUGUUAUUGUGAGCUGCCCAGAGUUGUUUAAUAUGGAUGGGCUACAUAAGUCUGAGAAACAAACAAACAAAACAAUGGAGAUACUUAUUUUGUCCCUUUUCAGCUCUUCAGAAGAAUGUGGUAUUUACCUUACUUACCUCAAGGUAUGGGAGAUUGGAAUUUUACAACACAAUGUUAAUUUCUGAAAAGUACUCUACUGAAAAGAGUUUAUUUAAAUUUGCAAAUCACUGUUAUCCUUAUCUCUUAUCUUAAAAAAUGGAAGUAAAUCCAAUUAAUAGCAACUGCUGGACUCAACCAUUUGCAAGAAUUUUAUUCUAAAUAUUCAGCAGACCAAUUGUUUUAAGCUUAAAAGCCAUAUGGAAUAUUGACAACAUUUGUGUUAAGAGACUAUCAUCAGUAAGAGAAGGUUUUAUACAUUCAUUUGCAGGAUAUUUGAGAGAAAACAUGGAUUUUGGCUGUACUUCCCUUUUCUUCAAAGGAAGAGGAUGUUGGAUAAUUUGGAUGAGAAAAAUAAAGCUGAUUUAUUUGGUUUUGUAAAAGAGAAAAUUGAUUUGAAUUAUCCUGAUAUUUCCUUGGCCUUCUGAAUUUGGACUUUGUGGAUGAAUCUUCCUUAAUAUUUCCUGAAACUGCUGACAAAAUAUUUGGAGAAAUCUGAAACAUUGCUGAAAAAAAUAGAUUAUUUGAUGGGCAACUUACAACCCAGGACUUAUAAACAACCAACAAACCAAACAAAAGCCCCUACAUUGGUGCAUCUUUUUCCUCAUAGACUACUGAAUUCUGGAAUUUGUCAGAUGAACUAUCCAAAGAAAUCCAGAACUGAUGCUGUCACUUGUCUAAUACUCUGAUCAUGAGAAUCUUUAUAUAUGUGCAGAGGGAUUCUGAACCCUUCUCCUGGUUGAUCAGCACAAUGUCGUGACACUGGAGUUUUG